UACGGGAGGCAGCAGUGGGGAAUAUUGCACAAUGGGCGCAAGCCUGAUGCAGCCAUGCCGCGUGUAUGAAGAAGGCCUUCGGGUUGUAAAGUACUUUUCAGCGGGGAGGAAGGCGGUGAAGUUAAUAGCUUCACCGAUUGACGUUACCCGCAGAAGAAGCACCGGCUAACUCCGUGCCAGCAGCCGCGGUAAUACGGAGGGUGCAAGCGUUAAUCGGAAUUACUGGGCGUAAAGCGCACGCAGGCGGUCUGUCAAGUCGGAUGUGAAAUCCCCGGGCUUAACCUGGGAACUGCAUUCGAAACUGGCAGGCUAGAGUCUUGUAGAGGGGGUAGAAUUCCAGGUGUAGCGGUGAAAUGCGUAGAGAUCUGGAGGAAUACCGGUGGCGAAGGCGGCCCCUGGGACAAAGCUGACGCUCAGGGUGCGAAAGCGUGGGGAGCAAACGAGGAUUAGGAUACC
rnacentral:rRNA from 1 species